UAUACGAAAGAAGUAAGGAUAGUAGAACGUGAGAAGAUAUUAAGUGCUCAUCUAGUAUCUACCAUAAUCAGGUAAAUGAUAUCGCUGAUGUUUUGGUUGAUAUGAGUUUUAGAAACUCCAUGUGUUAUCAGGAUUGGCGGCUGAUGCAUUAUAGCAACCUUCUCCUCCUCAUCAUUUUGCAUGUAGACCAAUGUAUAAUAUAUAGAGUGGAGAGAGAGUCUCAAUACAAUUCAACAUGUUUUGAAAUAUGAAAUUACAUAUUAAUUUUGAUGUUUGAGUUUAUAUUAUAUGGAUGCUUUAUGAA